UGGGUUGGCAGGAACCACCUUGCCCAGGGACCCGCCCUCUCCCGCCUGCCAGAUUCCAGGCUGCCUCCUUGGAUGGAGCUGGGGAAACCUGCCAAAUUCUCGCUCCAACCUUCCGACAUUCAUUUACUCAGUAAACAUUUAUAGAUGCCCGCUGGGGACUCUGGUGGCACUGGAAACAAAGUUCCACUGUGGGCUUUAAAGGAGGAAACAAAAGACUAGUUGUACAAUCUCAGAAAAAUAUGAUAACUGCACCAGCGCAUCCCUAUAGCUGCAACCCACUCUGCAGCCUUGGAAACGACAUCACACCACUGCCUGUUCCUGUUGGAAAACCUGCCCCCGGCUUCCUGGCAGUUUUAGGAAAAACUUCUCACCUCUCACCUGGUCUACAAGGUGGUCUUGUCAGAGGAUGUCAGCUCUCCGAGUGCAAAAGAUCUGUCUUGUUCACUGCUGGGUCCCUGGCUCCUAAAACAGAAUCUAACACAUAGUAGAUGCUUAAUAAGUCACUGCAGGAUGACUGGACGAAGAAACCAAGCAUCACAGGGUACGGCUGGAGUUUUUGGUGCCCAGAAGCCUGGGAUGAGGAGACAGGCUCCAAAUGCCACAGAUGGUCCCGUGGAAGACCCCCGCAGACCGCGGAUUGAUGGCGCCUCUGAAAGCUCUGGGUGCAGCGUUCAGCGCAGAAGCCUCGCUUCCAGAGGGUGGGGCAUUUAAUCCAAUUAUUGGGGAUGGGGGGGGGAAGAAAAAAAUGGU